rnacentral:pre_miRNA from 1 species
UAGUUUUGUCCAAACUCAAACUUCUCUAGCUUUGACCAAGUUCAUAGGAAAAUAUAUCAACAUCUAAAUAAAUGCAUUAUCAAAACUUAUUUCAUAAUGAAUUUAAUGAAACUAAUUUGAUGUUGUAGAUUUUUGGUGCAUUCUUCUAUAAACUUAGUCAAAGCUAGAGAAGUUUGACUUAGAACAAAAUUAA